rnacentral:rRNA from 1 species
CCCUUAGAUGUUCGGAGCUGCACGCGCGCUACACUGAAGGAAGCAGCGUGUUAGAUCACCUGGCUUGGAAGAGCUGGGUAAUCCGGUGAAUGUCCUUCGUGAUUGGGAUAGGCACUUGUAAUUAUUUGCCUUGAACGAGGAAUACCUAGUAAGUGCGAGUCAUCAGCUUGCGCUGACUACGUCCCUGCCCCUUGUACACACCGCCCGUCGCUCCUACCGAUUGGAUGAUCCGGUGAGCUAUUCGGACUUUCGCAUUGUCGAUUUUCGGCUUUACGAGGGAAAGUCUCGCGAACCUUAUCAUCUAGAGGAAGGAGAAGUCGUAACA